rnacentral:lncRNA from 1 species
UUUUUUAUUGUUUUUUUUAAUUAUUCCAUUCUCCACUCCCAUAUUAGUUUGGAAGUUUUACUCUUUUUCUAUUUGAAACAUUUUAUUUAUUUAUAAAGAUUUUAUUUAUUCAUGAGAGUCAUAGAGAGCCAGAGACGUAGAGGGAGGAGCAUGCUCCCUAUUGGGAGCCUGAUGCAGGACUUGAUCCCAGGACCCCGGGAUCACGACCUGAGCCAAAGGCAGAUGCUCAACCACUGAGCCACCCAAGUACCCCUCUAUAUGAAAUAUUUUAAAAAUUGCCCUAGAAAUUUACUUUCCAAUAUUAAUCUUAUUUCAUUUACCAAAAAGUACUGAGUACCUCCAUGGUGAAGUAAAAAACCAUGGAGGUGAAAUGAGCAAGCAGUCUGGUCCUUGAGAGCCCAAGUCAGUCCCUUUAUUUUCCUUUUGAAGAAUCUCCAGGUCUCCGAAGUUCAGACUACUGCUUUUUUUCACUAUGUAAAUACCAUGUGCUUAUAAAAAGACCUAAACAUUUCAUAUGUUUAUUGUUGAGAUUGUCAGCAGUCUAUUACAUCUUUUUUACAUGUUAAUUUUUUGGUUUUGGCUCAUCAUUUCAAAGGAUCCAGCUACUCUGGAUCUUUAUAAGUAUCGUUCUACACAUUAUAUCUAUCCUCACAAAUUUGCAGUGAAGUAUUAUCACCCAAUCAGGAAAGUUAUUUCGGUGAAAUUGAUUUUCCCACAAUCACACAUCUAGUGAGUGGUGGGCUGGAUUCGUAUACAGAUCUGCCUGUCUCUAAUGCUUAUAAUUUUUUCAACCCUAUUACAUGGAAGGAUUUGUCAAAAUGAAGGCUAGAGAAAUUAUAAUGUAUAUUAAUACCUUAAAAGUACAUGACUGUCAGUUUGUCGAGAUGCAGUUCACAUAUCAUAAAAUUAAUGUUUUAUUUAUUUAUUUAUAGGGGGGUGGAGGAGCAGAGAGAGAGAAUCUCAAUCUCCUCACUGAGGCUGAUGUGACUCACGACCCUGAGAUCAUGAUCUGAGCUGAAACUGAGUCAGAUGCAUAGCCAUCUGAGCCACCCAGGUGCCCCAAAAUUCAUCUUUUUAAAGUGUAUGGUUCAGUGUCUUUUAUCAUAUUCAUAAAGCUGUACAACCAUCAGUACUAUCUAAUUCCAGAAUAUUUUCAUCUCCCCCAGAAGAAAUCCUCUAUUAGCAACCAUUCCCAUUUCCUCUUCCCCCAGAACUUUGGCAAUCUCUACUCUCUGUCCCUAUGGCUUUGCCUAUCCUGGGUAUCCCAGCUUUUGUGUGCAGCCUUUGGCUUCUUUCAUUUAGCAUGUUUUCAAGGCUUAUCCAUGUGGUAACAUAUAUUAGUGCUCCACUCCUUUUGUGGUUGAGUAAUAUAGUCCAUCGUAUGGAUAUACUACCUUUUGUUUAUCCAUCAUUUGUUGGUAACAUUUUUGACUAUUGUGGAUAAUGCUGCUAUAAACAUUUGUGUACAAGUUUUUGUAUGAAUGUAUUUUUUGUUCCCUUGGGUAUGUAAUUAGGAGUGUUAACUGCUGGGUCAUGUUCAACUUUUUGAGGAACUGUCAAACACAGCAACCUUACUUUAUGUUCCCACCAGAAUAUGAGGAUUCCAAUAUUUCCACAUUGUCAGCACUUAUUGUCCCUUGUUCUGACUAUAGUCAUCCUAGUGGAUAUGAAGUACUAUUAUACUGUUAUUUAUUUAUUUAUUUAUUGAUUGAUUGAUUGUUUGAUUUAUUCAUGAGAGACACAGAGAGAGAGGCAGAGACACAGAGAGAGGGAGAGGGAGAAGCAGGCUCCUCGCAGGGAGCCCGAUGUGGGACUCCAACAUGGGCCCUGGGAUCACACCCCGAGCCAAAGGCAGAGGCUCAACUGCUGAGCCAUCCAAGCAUCCCUAUAUUCUGGUUUUGAUCUACAUUUCCCUAAUGGCUAAUGAUGCUGAGCAUCUUAUUAAUAGUGCUUAUUUGCCACUUAUGUAUCUUCUUUGGAGAAAGUUUAUUCAAGUCCUUUGUCCAUUUUUUAAUUGAGUGGUCUUUUGAUUGUUGUAUUGCAGGAGUUCUUUAUAUAUUCGGUAUAGUAAGCCUUACCAUACAUAUGAUUAACAAAUAUUUUUUUCCUAUUCUGUGAGUUUUCACUUUCAUGAUAGUGUUCUUUGAAGGAGAAGUUUUUAAUAUGGAUGGAGUACAAUUUAUCUUUUUUUUUUGAGGGGCAAAGGGUUGUUUGUGCUUUAGGUGUCAUAGCUAAGAAACCACUGCCUCAUCCCAAGUCACAAAGAUUUGUAACUGUUUUCUUCUAAGUAAUAUUACCUUUACCCUUUUCUGAGACAAUGUAAGAAAUUUGAGGCAUUUCAUUUAUCCCUGUAGCUUACAUUCUUUUUCAAAUACAUACAUACAUAUUGAAAUCCCAUAUAGUACAUUAUCAUAAUCAUUGUAUGCAAUAUGUUCAUUAAGUUAUAUAUUUACCACAAUUUUUGUUUUUUUGUUUCUUACUGAAAUUUAAUUUUCCACCAGGGUUCUUUUCCUUUUGUCUCAAGAAGGGGGAGAGAGAGUUUCCUUUCUUAGGGAGGAUAUGUUGCAUUAAAUUCUAUCAAUUUUUAUUUUAAUGUCUUUAUUUUGCCUUCAUUCGUGGAAAAUAUUUCUGUUGUGUAGAGAAUCCUUGGUUGAGAGUCAUUUUCUUUCAAUACUUUGAAGAUAUUUUUCUACUGUCUAUUUGUUUCCAAUAUACUAUUGAGAAAUCAGAUAUCUUUUUAAGGUAGUUCUUUUUCCAGUGAGAAACUUUUAAGAUUUCUUUUUUUUUUUUUUUCCAACUUCACUAUGGUGUGUCUAAAUAAGGAUUCUUUUGUAGUUAUCCUACUUGGGAUCUACUGACUUCUUGAAUUUAUGGCUCAAUGUCUUUCAUCACUUUUGAAAAUCUCAGCUAUUAUCUCUUUCAAUAUUGUCUCUGACACAUUCUUUCUCCCCUAUCUUCCUGGAAUCCAAGUGUAUUUGACAUUUUCACAAUGCCCUCUAUAACUUUUACCUCUCUUACCCACUUUCCAUUUUUUAGACUCUUCUGACUUAUAAUCCAGUUUACCAAGUCUUUAUUUAUUUAUUUAUUUUUAAAUUUUUAUUUAUUUAUGAUAGUCACAGAGAGAGAGAGAGAGGCAGAGACACAGGCAGAGGGAGAAGCAGGCUCCAUGCACCGGGAGCCUGACGUGGGAUUC